GAGGAAUAUUGCGCAAUGGGGGAAACCCUGACGCAGCAACGCCGCGUGGGUGAAGAAGGCCUUCGGGUUGUAAAGCCCUGUCAGGUGCGAAGAAACCUCCACAGGUGAAUAGUCUGUGGAGCUGACGGUAGCACCGGAGGAAGCACCGGCUAACUCCGUGCCAGCAGCCGCGGUAAGACGGAGGGUGCAAACGUUGUUCGGAAUCACUGGGCGUAAAGCGCGUGUAGGCGGUCCGAUAAGUCGAGUGUGAAAGCCCGAGGCUCAACCUCGGAAGCGCACUCGAAACUGGCGGGCUUGAGUACGGGAGAGGGAAGUGGAAUUCCUGGUGUAGAGGUGAAAUUCGUAGAUAUCAGGAGGAACACCGGUGGCGAAGGCGGCUUCCUGGACCGAUACUGACGCUGAGACGCGAAAGCGUGGGGAGCAAAC
rnacentral:rRNA from 1 species